AGCGAACGCUGGCGGCAGGCCUAACACAUGCCAGUCGAACGAACCUUUCGGGGUUAGUGGCGGACGGGUGAGUAACACGUGGGAACGUGCCUUUAGGUUCGGAAUAACUCAGGGAAACUUGUGCUAAUACCGAAUGUGCCCUUCGGGGGAAAGAUUAAUCGCCUUUAGAGCGGCCCGCGUCUGAUUAGCUAGUUGGUUGAGGUAAUGGCUCACCAAGGCGACGAUCAGUAGCUGGUCUGAGAGGAUGAUCAGCCACAUUGGGACUGAGACACGGCCCAAACUCCUACGGGAGGCAGGAGUGGGGAAUCUUGCGCAAUGGGCGAAAGCCUGACGCAGCCAUGCCGCGUGAAUGAUGAAGGUCUUAGGAUUGUAAAAUUCUUUCACCGGGGACGAUAAUGACGGUACCCGGAGAAGAAGCCCCGGCUAACUUCGUG
rnacentral:rRNA from 1 species